AGUUUAACUAUCCUUUAAUUAAAAAAUAAUAAUAAUAAUAAUAAUAAUAAUAUUGCUAUGUGGCCAUUAUACCAUGGCAGUCUUCAGUUUUUUUUCUUUGUUUCUGUUUUGAAAUUUUAGUAAGUAGCGUAAUGCUCUUCCCAGUUGAUUACAAGUACAGCCCCAUUGAUUAAUUAAGAUGAUCAUUUUAGAAUUAAGCUUAGCAGUGUGGUUAUCAAUUAAUAAUCUGACUAAACCUUUUGAGGGUUUUGAUUUCUUCAGUGUUUUGUAUCAAAAUGUCCAAAUAUUCAUCAUGCACUAUCCAAGUGAAGAAAAUAAAUCCCCCACUUUAAACAAGUUCUGCAGUCGUGAGGAAACCUAUGUAUCAAUAUAGCAUCUACGGUACGUUAUGGUAUCUUGUGAGAAUCACAUGGUAUCACUAAAUGUUGUCACUGACUGUAGUUAUCUAUAAUUGCUGUCAAAUUCUUCAAUACCUGAGCUCUGUAGGAGUCCUUACUAACUGAUAAAAAAAAAAGAAACAUCAGUGCUUGUCAUUGAAAGUCCUAUUUGAUUAAACACAGUUCUUUAAUAGCUAAAUGUCUUUAGCACAAACUGAAAAGAAUCCAGUGACAAAUAUUUGUAACCUUUCAUGUCCGAUUGUGUUUAAUUCUACAGCUAACCUCAAUAGACAUGAUUUAGAUGCUACGUCUUAUAUCCCUGUGAAAUUACCUCCGCCAUUGACCUGUUGGGAGUGUUUGCCUUGCAGCGUGAGAUGUGUCAUCACCUCUGCUUUAUGAGCUCCUAUAGGAACGGUGUCAAAGUAGAACUGUAAACGUGCAUGGAUUGAUUGUAAUGAUUUGAUGGAUCUUUGUAAUAUUUAUGGACCACAUGUUCGCCACCAUCCAUCAUAUGCAUUGUGGUUGCGAAUGCAGCUUCAUACCAAGGGACCGUUGCUACGGUAUGACAACAACUACAUUUCAAAAGCCCUUUUUUUUUUUUUAAGUGACUAUGGAAUCACUGCCACAUUGGAUUUGUACUGCUCUGGGUGAUGAAUAAUGAAUACUAUGCUGUAUAUUUUGAAAGCGAGCCUUUGUCCUUGUAGGAAAGCUAUUUCAAAUGAGAUGUGUUUAUUUCAUUGUAAUUAUUUAGAAUAUCUACAACCUUAGAUUCUGCUCAUACAGGAUCUAAAACUACUAUGAUUUUGGUGAAAUUCAACCCAUUAGACCCAUAAUAAGCAAUAUAUUAUGACAAGCAAAGAAGGCAUUUGUUUAUAAAAUUGUACACACUGCGCCCAUGAGAUGUCCACAUCAGAGGUCGCUGGAACACAAAGGAAAUGUGAUUGCAGUCAUACUGUCUUAGAGCAGAAAAUAAGAACACUGCAAUAUCCCACCAUUACACUAUGGAAUACGUCACAUUCUCAGUUCAAUCUACUCUGUUCUCUCAGCUAGCAUGCUUGAUGUCAGUCUACAGCAGUCUGUGUGUUAAUACAUAAACCAGUGUCUGUUUCUCUGGAGAUUAUCAUUGUGUUUCAUCCGUAUCAUCAAUGAAUCAGUGACCGUUUGAACCUCAAAUGGAGACCAUUAUUCUUCUUGUACCAUCUUGACAUAGACGACUGUGUCCUCUAGCUUUUUGUCCACCAAUCAGAUCUUUUACUUUAAUGGUGCUUUCUGUUGGCUAACUGCUUUCAUUUAAACCUCUCUCCUCUUGUGAUCAAAGUCACCUGAUGGCAAACACAACUACUACUAUUGCUACUACUACUAUUCAAUGCUGUAACGUCGUAAAUCUUGCUCUUGUGGCUUCUGCAUGAAUUCAAGAAAAAAAAAAAUAGGACCGAUGUUUCACUGCCCUUGAUAGAACAAAAAAAGAAAAAGAAAAAAAUCUUUUAUGGACUGUUAACGAGUUGUAUAGUGAGUGAUACUGUCCCUAACCCACUGUAUAAUGUUCUUGUUAUAACUAUUGCUCUAUGACAAGCUUAUAGCAUCAAUAUAUGGGAAUAUUUGGUAGAUUUAUAUUGUGUUACAUUGUGAUAGCAUGUACAUAAAAGAUACCUCCUCUGCAAUAAAUAUUUAUAUGAAAAU